UUAGGUUGGUGCAAAAAUAAUUGCAGUUUUUUCCAUUGAAAGUAAUGGCAAAAACCACAGAUACUUUUGCACCAACCUAAUA
rnacentral:miRNA from 1 species